CGCUAACCCAGCGGGUACGCGCUGCCGGCAGGGCUUCGGAGACGGGCAGCCGAGCCCAGCCGCCCCCACGUCCCUCCGUAGCGACGGGGCCGGGCCGCUCCUGUCCCUCUCCGCUCUCCCCCCACCUACGGUACCUCUCCCUCUUUGGGCCCCAGCUUGGGGUUGUAGAUGAAGAAACUGAGCAGGGUCGGAGCGAGCUGCUUCUCCUGGCCGGCUCCCGCCGCCGCCGUCGCCAUACUGAGCCGGAAGCGAGCGCGCCUGGGGCCGGCCGCCGCCACACACCAUCGGGGAGCAGCCCGGGGCCCUCCGCCGGCACCGGCCAGGAGCACUUCCGCCUUCCUCCCUCCACCCCGGAAGCCACGGCGCCAUCCCGGAAGUGCUCCCGGGCCCCGCGCGGGCCGCGCUCCACAGCGCCCCCAGCGGUGGGGCGGGCAGCGGGGCGGGGCUGCCUCGUGCUUUUCUGUGAACUUCCAAUUGAAGCAAAUUUCGGUGUGAGUUUUGAAGUAGAAACGGCUACGUAAGACGUGUGGCACUGCUCCGUGCAGUCCAAACACAGACAUUUCAACAUGAGGCCGAAGAAAGAUGAUCAUUUUCAGUGUAAGGAGGAAGCAGACACCCAGCAUCAGUUGCGGGAUCCCCAGCAAUGGCAGCAGAAUCAGCAUUGUCUGGGAGGUAACCAUUGCACAGGGAUUUGGAGCACAUCAGGAACAAACGUAAACACAUGAGAUCUGCUUCAGGACUGGGGCAUUUCCAGGUGAAGUCAUAGAUUAUGACAUGCCAUCGUAAAAAUGUGGCUAAAGAUCACGCAGGCUUCUUUCUGUUGCUCAAUCUGAAUUCUGCACUUUUGUCAGCAUCUCCUUUAAAA
rnacentral:lncRNA from 1 species